CUCGGGUUCCUGGGAACAGAAAACAUGCAUGACAUAUUUCCCGUUGGCUCUGGCUCUCAGAACCAAACGUGGUACAGCCAGGAGCUCAGAACUCAGGAGUUUGAACUGGCUCUGCAUGAACUAAAACCCAGGUUUCUAGACUCGGGUCACCAAUCAGUCAAUAUUGAAAGUCAGGUGCCCUUGGGCAUGGGGCUGGCUUUAGACCUCAGGGAGCACAGGAUGGUAAAUUCUCCUAACCUGACCACCAGAAGUUCCAACGUGCUAAACACGGCUGUUCUCUAAGUGAUAUCCUUCAGCAUGGGACUCCAGCAUGAGAGUGAGAAAUGCAGAUUCCAGGAGACUUAAUAGAUCUGUAGACACAGAUCCUGGCCGGGAUUGCACCUCAAGCUGACUCUUCCUUAAUCUUUAGGCAGUAUGUCCCAGAAGACUGGAAAAACGUUUCUUUAGCAAGAAAACUGAGGUCUUGGAAGGGCCCUGGCCUGAGCCAGGAACAGUUGUCCCUACCCCCUCAACCCUAGCUCUGUUUGGUGACUGUGGUGGGGUUGCCAGGGGAACCGGGCUGUGCAACUUCCUGGCUUUGGCGUUUUUCCCCCUCGUUGGCCUUAUCUCGGCAUCCGCCACCCAGUCCAGGGCUGCGUGCUGGUCACGUAGAGGGGAAGCUGGUGCCAGGCGUGUCGAGGACACCAAGGGAACACUGCCCAAGUAUUGGAAGGGCCAGAGGGUGGUGCUGCGAAAUUCAAGAAGUCCAGGAGAGUGGGCAGGGCCAUGAGUUCGUUAAUGUCUUUCUCUAUGGCUUGGGAGGUACCUGCCAAAUGAGGAUGUUGGAGAAUUAUGGCUAACUAGGGGCUCUCUCUGCCUUAUCGCUCAGUUCUUUUCACAGCCGGAUCCCGGCAUCACCUGAACGAAUGUUCUUCUCCAGACCUACUCUCCAGCCCCAGGAUCCCCCAGUGGUCCCUACCCCAACACCAACAACCCUGCUUCCAAAGUUCUAUGCAUGUCUGCUCUUUCUGCUCGGGUCAAGAUUACUUUCUGUGUUUUGGGCUCUCCCUGCUGCAGCUCAGUCUCGUGGGCAGUCAUUAAGAGCAGGAAAGGGGAAUGGGGUUUUGAAGACAGAUGGAAUGCUGCUAGCAGUGUAAGUAAAGUAAUUCGUGCAUUUAAGUAUUUAUUUAUGUUUUGGGCCUUUGAUUUGAGAAGAAUUUAGGGUGGUUUGGAGAAUUUAAGUGUUCCAGGAAAGGCAGCGGGGUGAUGCAACUCUCAAGCUUCAUGCAAUUUAGAAACAAAAGAAAAAGACCCAUUCCUGAGUCCUGAUGUUUGCACUACACUAAGGACAAGACCCCUGCAUGGCUGAGGGGAAGAAAACACAGCAAACUGAUUCUCAGGGAACACAGCAUGGGAGAGCUUCCUCCCAGCCCUCCAAGAUGGGAUUUUGGCUAGGAACCAGACGCAGCAGAAGCAGCUUUACUGAGGAUCAAAAUGGAUACCCCGAAAAUGGAAGCAGAGGCUAUGGAAGGCUGAGGAGAAGGAGGUGACUCCUUGCCUCAGGAACUCUGAGGACGAGUAUAGAGGUUCAGAGAGAUCCUGAGGAAGAAGCGUUGCCACAUUGGAGCAACACAAAUUCCUCCACAGGAAUGUAGAUCUCAUCCCGUUCUCUGUCCAGGCCCAGCCACGUCAUCCUGCUUCUUUCCUCACCUACCCACGGAAUGUGUCUUUCCCCCUAGUGCUGGGUGGCUGGGUUCCUCCAUGCACUUCAGAGGGGCGGGGGAAGGGGAGGACAGGGAGUGGUAGAGAACUAGUGUCCCUCUGCAUUGCUCUUAGGAGACAUGCUUAAGUGAGAAGCCAGACUUUAUUUUAACAGCUCUGCUGAACCAUGUCUCCCAGGCUCCUCCUGCCAAGUAGGCUUCUUCAUCAUAGAGUCAAGCUUCCUAUGUCUCCUGCCUCAGCUACUGUGACGGCAUCUCUAGGGCCAGCAGGGCGAUUGGGAUGAAAAGGCCGUUUCAGGGUCAAGUCCAAACCAGAAUGGACAGGGUGGGCUACUGAUGUUUGGCCCCCUCUACUCCUCUCCUGGAUCCUGACCCUUGGGUAGCAAUCUAGGCCUUAUUCUGGGCAUUUCUGGGAGCGAUGCCAUGGUAGGACGGCUAGAGGUAACUGCUUGAAGUUUGGGUAGGGAUAUUGCUGUACUUUUGAGCCAUAUUUUGCUGAGAAAGCUCUGUAUCAGUGCUGGGACCUGGUUAUGGGAGGCCUGAAUCUUAUGUAGUUUUGGAAGCUCCACUUGAGAAAGGCAAUAUGAAAUUAUUAAUGCAAAAUUAAAUACAGAGACAAACACUUGGAAUAAUAAAGCCAGAAUAAUUACAAGCUGUAAGCACUCUUAUAUGUCACCAAGAUUGCCACCCCAGGAGGAAUAAUAUGCUUUGUGAAUGGCGGUAAUUCCACCCCCGCCUCUCAGUCUCUUUGAAUAAUAAUGAUUUUAUAACUUGUAUAACAACCCAGUCUUUCCCGGGAUGUGGACUGAACGACACUCUUGUUAUUAUUGAUAGAUUAGGAUGUUUCUCUUCUCAGCUGCUGUGGGGAGAAAAAUCACGUCAGUUUUUAUUGUUCUUGUCAAAUUUGGGGGAAAUUGUAUUUCAUUUCUUUCUUAUAGGAGCUGUAGGAUUUCGGAGCAUCGUUCAGUAAUUAAUCUUAUGUGUCUUUUGAAUUGAGGGCACUCAGUAAUUAGCUUGUCGCUGGUCCAGCUCUUGCCCGGCUAGUAUGGGUUUCAUGGAUUCUCUAUCAAGGCCAACGCUUUCUGUUAAAUCAACAAGGACUUCAGUGGUCUUCUCCCAGAUGUUCGCGUCACUCCCUUCUUGUUAAGUGGAUCACUGUGCAACAGAAACUCCAUCUUACUCCUUCAGAUCUCAUCUGCUCCUCUUCCGGAAUUGCCUUUCUCUGUGGGUACAGAGACCUAUGCAGAAAAUGAGGUAAAAUAUUGCAAGAGCCAAUGGAUGGAAGACGCCAAAGAAACAAGUGUCUUCCAGACGCGACAGGGCUGAUGCACUUGUGAGCUCACACCAGGGAAACAGUAUCUUCCAGACACAAUAGGGUGGACACACAUUCAAACUCAUGAAGAUGUGGCAGUAAACACAGGGCCUGUACAGGUCCAAGCCAAAUGGGGGGAGUGAACAUGAACCCCUAUCCCUAACUGAGAAGCUCUCUCCAGCUGGCAAUGUCUCACAAAGGAAAAGCUGGUCUCUCUAAUGGAGUCUCGCUGGGUGUACAGAUCACAGGGUAUGGAGAGAUGGAUCUGUGGUUAAAAGCACUGACUGCUCUUCCAGAGGACCAAGGUUCAGCACCCACAUGGCAGAUCAUAACCAUCUGGGAUUCCAGUUUCAGGUGAUCCAAUGCCACCUUCUGGCCACCAGUGGUACUGCAGACACAUGGUGUACAAACAUUCAGUCUUCAUACUCAUCCACAUAAAAAUUGUAAGAAAAGCGUUCAAAAAUGUUAAAAUAUUCUUGUUAUGCUUCACAGUGUAUUUGUAGCCCACUGUCCUGAUGUACUUGUCAAAUGUCUGCCUCUUCCUCCCCAGAACUUGUGAAUACUUUCCUUACAUGGCAAGAGAGGUUUUAGAGAAAUGAUUAACUUAGGGAGCCUGAGGUGGGAGAUGAUUGUGACUGUUCAGGUGGAGUUGAUGGGCUUUGGGGACAGGGGAAGGGGUCGUGAGCCAAGGAAAAGGGGCAGCCUUCAAAGCAACAGAAAGCUCUAGGGAGAAUGCAGCCUUGUCGAUGCUUCAAUGUUAGCUCAGUGAAACGCAUCAAACUCUAAAUAAAAUUUGAAUAAAUUUGUUUUUAUUUAAGCUACUACA
rnacentral:sRNA from 1 species